rnacentral:rRNA from 1 species
AGAUUGAACGCUGGCGGCAUGCCUUACACAUGCAAGUCGAACGGCAGCACGGGGGCAACCCUGGUGGCGAGUGGCGAACGGGUGAGUAAUGCAUCGGAACGUGCCCAGUAGUGGGGGGAUAACUAGUCGAAAGAUUAGCUAAUACCGCAUACGACCUAUGGGUGAAAGCGGGGGAUUCGCAAGAACCUCGCGCUAUCGGAGCGGCCGAUGUCUGAUUAGCUAGUUGGCGGGUAAAAGCCCACCAAGGCUUCGAUCAGUAGCUGGUCUGAGAGGACGACCAGCCACACUGGGACUGAGACACGGCCCAGACUCCUACGGGAGGCAGCAGUGGGAAUUUUGGACAAUGGGCGCAAGCCCGAUCCAGCCAUGCCGCGUGCGGGAAGAAGGCCGUUUACGGGUUGUAAACCGUCGUUUUGGCAGGAACGAACGGCGCGAGCGAAUAUCUCGCGUUAAGUCGACGGUACCUGUACAGAAAUAAGACACCGGACUAACGUACGUGACCACGCAGCCCGUA